GACCUGUUGGAGAGAACUACCACCCAGAACUCCUGAGCUUCCAUCUGAGGCUGUAAUAAAUGAGGCCAUAAUUAUCUUCCCUGACAUUCAGAAAGAAUCCCAAGGGAAUUGUAUAUGGCAAGAAAGCAUAUACAUGGAUAUUUAGGAGGCCAGAGUGGCAAAUUACUAGCUGCCCCCAAAUAUUUUUAUCAGCAUCCAACUAGAAACUUCAUUUUCCAGCCUCCAGUAGAAUAUGAAAAAGCUGAGGCUUAAAAGCACAAAGUUACUCCAAAGGAGAGGGAUGAUAGAGUUAAUCGUCUAAACCAGGACACAUCUGAGCAUGAAAGGAGGCAGUCACUGCACAGGAUGCUAGAACAAACGGAAGUGAUUUGCAAUUCCUGGAUGACACCUGAAUUUUACCAAAAGGUUUCAAGGCAACCCUUUAGAAAGUGACCUUUUGCUUUCCCCAUUUCCUUUGCCCUAAGUGUUAAUUGACUUUGAAAAAGCAGUAUAUUAUCUUUUCAGAAAAAAGAAAAGGAUAGACCUUAUUUGUGAACACCAACAUCCUACAGCAUCAAAGCGUUGUUUAAAUCAUCGCACAGCAGAGCUGAGAACAACUAUCCAGGAGAGUGAGAUUUAAAAAAAAAGAAAAGAAAAGAAGUCUUAGAAUGAAAGAGUGC